UAGAAGGCAUGUGUUAUUUAAGGUUAGGGGAGAGGUGAAAUGGGAGAAAACUAAUUUCCGACACGUUUUCUAGUCAGCUUGACCUACUUCUCUGAAAUAUCUCUGUAGAUAUUUCUGAAUAUCUCCCUAGAAUUUUUUGCCCAGUUCAGCAAACAAUGUGAUCCAGGAUGCGUGGAAACGGUCAGCGAAAAGACAAACGAGUUGUCUUGACACCUCGGUGCAGAUACCAAGUGAAGGGUGACCAGGGGGUUAAUUGACUGGCUUGCUGCAAAACUGAGUGAAUUGGGACACAAACGGAAGCGUUUGGCAUGUUAACAAAGAUGCUGACAGACAUCUGUCAGCAUCCCAAAAAAGACGCUGACAGACAUCUGUCCACAUCCCAAAAAAAGUAUGCCGUCGUAUGGCUCUGGAAAUGGAGAUUUAUAAGAGAGCAGGGAUGAGGAUUUCAGUGCAGAGUUUCCAGUCACACAAGGCUCAGCACUUUCAUGAGGUGGAAUGUCAUCGCCAUUUUCAGAAGACACUGCAGCAAAGUGGUACUAGGAGGAGCAGUGAAGUUGUCAUGAUGUUAACUUACAGCUUCCUACAGGGGUUUGUCAGGCACUUUUAAUCUAAAGAAAGAACUACAGCAAAGAACUGCAUAUUGACUACACUAUUAACACAAGCACAAUGCUUUAUAACUGGCUACUUCACCCUUGGCCUGGGCUUCCCGCACAGAACUUAUCGUGAUUGAUUUUACAGGAGUCUCAAGUUUGUGCAACCUCCAUAGGCAGUCCUGUUCCUUUCCACCUUCAUGGAAAUAAACAAUUUAUAUUAAAUCUUUCCAGUCUCUUUGAUCAUUCCAUGCUGCACGCUUUCGCUGAAUCUCUUCCUUGAAGUGGGCCACCAACACUGGGUGCAGUAAUCCAGACCAUGCCUUACCAGCUCUUCAUCGAAUAUGAGUUUCUUAUUUUAUAAAUGUCUUUUAGGCUCUACUUGUAUUCCUAUUUAUACAGCUUGGAGUGGCAUUUGGCUUCAUCCAUCUAAGGAUGACCAUUGGCGUUUUUGUGACAGCACAGUAUUGUCACAGCAGUGACAAACCUGUGGUUGCGGAGCCACAUGCCGUUUACAAGUGGAUCAGGUAUAGUUUCCCUGUGUGUGGCAGUAUAGGGUACCCGGAAGCAGUCCCUGUGAACAGAACCAGAAAAAUGGCUCGGACACCAGAAUUUGUCUCUUCAGACUGAUGUGUGGAAGACCUGUUUUCGCUUUGGGUGGAAUCCUGUGGGACUCCUCAGGUGCCAACUGUGCUUGAAGGAAGUGGGAAGGAUCCAGCCAGCUGAAGGCUGCCAAGGAGGCAGCCAGACUACCAUCGUAAGAUAGGGCAGUGGUUUUCCUGACCAUCCCUGCUGCAGAGAGUAAAAUCUAGCCAAACACUCUUCAUUUAUAGUACUCACAUUUAACUACAAAGGCAGCACUGUCAAGCCAGAAGUGGCCUAAACCAAAGGCACAAUUUCAGUUGACUUAUGUCCAUUGAGCAUCCCUGGGAUGGAGAAAAAGGACCAUCAAGCAAGGAAUCUCUGGGCUCCACCUGCUGCAAAUGUGAAACACCGUCUAGUGGUAGGCACAGAUACACAGUACUGAGCUGGUCUGCUAACAACCAUCACCAAAGCAUUGCACAGCUCCGGGCAAAGCCUGCAAGGACUGCUUGUCUUCCCAAGUACAGACAUGCAUGUGCAGCUGUACGCACGCUUUUCUCUAUUACUACAGCCUUUGAAUGAAUAAACAGUGAUAAGAGGCACUUGAAUAUUGUUCCUGAACUUUGUUUUGACAGCUGUCACUUGUAUUGUCUCCCCCCCAGGUCUAUCUUUUAAUUACAUCAGGUUAAGGCAAUGUCUCAUCUGUCACCCUUGCCUGAUAGCAGAAAGGGACAAAUUCAGCCAAGGGUUGAACAGAUUUAGCUUUCCUCGCUGCCAUGACAUGGUAUUUGCUACUCUCCUCUUGAAUCCCUACCAACAGUCAGUUAUCAUGGUUAGAAAAAGAAAUGGUCUGUCUAAGGGUUGAGCAGUGGUUCAGGGAAUUGGCAUGUGCUUUGUGUGAUGUCCAGCAGCUAAGACAUUUUUAGCUGAAGCUGUGGCAUAUGGCAUAGUUCUAAAUCUCAAGAGCCAACUGCAUUCUCACCAGCUAAGGGGGCCUGAGAAUCGGCUGCAGAAUGAGAAAAAAACAGUCUUAGCACUUGAGCAAUUACCUAAGCUAUGCUCACAUCUUUCCGUAGUCACUUGAAUGUUACUGCAAAUAGGAAUUGGUCAAAUGACCCCAGAGAGUACAGUGGGGAGCCUUCCAGAUUAAUGUUCCCCCUGCGUGCAGGCUUCUAGUUGGGGGAUGGAAGUGGCUGGCUUUUAACAACUCGUCUGUGGAGGUUAGAUCAGCCUGCUAGGGAGCUGACCCAAUAUCACACAUCUUCAGUGGUGGCUUCUGC